rnacentral:rRNA from 1 species
UGGCUUUAACGGGUAACGGAGGAUUAGGGUUCGAUUCCGGAGAGGGAGCCUGAGAAACGGCUACCACAUCUAAGGAAGGCAGCAGGCGCGUAAAUUACCCAAUCGCGACUCGCGGAGGUAGUGACAAGAAAUAACGGACCGAAGCCUAUGUUUCGGGAUUGCAAUGAGUAGAAUUUAAACCCCUUUACGAGGAUCAAUUGGAGGGCAAGUCUGGUGCCAGCAGCCGCGGUAAUUCCAGCUCCAAUAGCGUAUAUUAAAGUUGUUGCAGUUAAAAAGCUCGUAGUUGGACUUCUGGGAGGAUGCCAAUGUCCGCUCGUUAGCGUGUGCAGCGGCGUCCUUCCAUCCUUCUGUUAACGUUUCUUGGUAUUCACUUACUGGUUUCGGGCUCAGAUAUUUUACCUUGAGAAAAUUAGAGUGUUUCAGGCAGGCUUGCGCCGGAAUACAUUAGCAUGGAAUAAUAGAAUAGGACUUUAGUCUCCUUUGUUGGUUUGAGGGACUGAAGUAAUGAUUAAUAGGGAUAGUUGGGGGCAUUAGUAUUUAAUUGUCAGAGGUGAAAUUCUCGGAUUUGUUAAAGACUAACUUAUGCGAAAG